rnacentral:rRNA from 1 species
AUACAUUGGUAGAGGAGCAUUCUUAAAGGGGCGAAGCAGUACCGAUAAGGAGCUGUGGACUUUUAAGAAGAGAGAAUGCCGGAAUGAGUAGCGAGAUGGAGGUGGGAAUCCUCCAGGCCGAAUAUCUAAGGUUUCCAGGGUAAAGCUGAUCUGCCCUGGGUAAGUCGGGGCCUAAGGCAAGGCUGAGAAGCGUAGCUGAUGGACAACAGGUUUAGAUUCCUGUACCACAUGAUAUCAGAACUGUGGGGACGCAGAGGGAUAAGAUGACCGGGGAACAGAACUCCGGGCAAGCGCAGGAGGUGUCAGGCAGGCAAAUCCGCCUGAUAAGCCAAAGACGUGACGCGGACCGAACCAAAGUAGGGAAGCAUCCGAUUCCAGCUGCCGAGAAAAGCCGCUAUUGUGUAUCAUGUGCCCGUACCGUAAACCGACACAGGUGGAUGAGGAGAGAAUCCUAAGGCCGGCGGGAGAAGCAUUGUUAAGGAACUCGGCAAAAUGACCCCGUAACUUCGGGAUAAGGGGUGCCAGAGAGAUCUGGCCGCAGAGAAUAGGCUCAAGCAACUGUUUAGCAAAAACACAGGUCUAUGCGAAACCGUAAGGUGAUGUAUAAGGGCUGACGCCUGCCCGGUGCUGGAAGGUUAAGAGGAGAGGUUAGAGCAAUCGAAGCUUUGAAUUGAAGCCCCAGUAAACGGCGGCCGUAACGAUAACGGUCCUAAGGUAGCGAAAUUCCUUGUCGGGUAAGUUCCGACCCGCACGAAAGGCGUAAUGAUUUGAGCGCUGUCUCGACAAUGCACCCGGUGAAAUUGAAAUACCAGUGAAGAUGCUGGUUACCUGCGCCAGGACGGAAAGACCCCAUGGAGCUUUACUCCAGCUUGAUACUGGGAUUCGGUAAUGCAUGCACAGGAUAGGUGGGAGGCUACGAGUACGGAACUCCGGUUUCGUAUGAGCCGCUGUUGGGAUACCACCCUUGCGUUACUGGGUUUCUAACCAUGGCCCGUGAUCCGGGUCGGGGACAAUGUCAGGUGGGGAGUUUGACUGGGGCGGUCGCCUCCGAAAGGGUAUCGGAGGCGCUCAAAGGUUCCCUCAGAAUGGUUGGAAACCAUUCGAAGGGUGCAAAGGCAGAAGGGAGCUUGACUGCGAGACCGACGGGUCGAGCAGGUAGGAAACUAGGACUUAGUGAUCCGGUGGUAUGAAAGUGGGAUUGCCAUCGCUCAACGGAUAAAAGCUACCCUGGGAUAACAGGCUUAUCACUCCCAAGAGUUCACAUCGACGGAGUGGUUUGGCACCUCGAUGUCGGCUCAUCGCAUCCUGGGGCUGAAGUAGGUCCCAAGGGUUGGGCUGUUCGCCCAUUAAAGCGGUACGCGAGCUGGGUUCAGAACGUCGUGAGACAGUUCGGUCCCUAUCCGGCGCAGGCGGAGGAUAUUUGAGAGGAGCUGUCCUUAGUACGAGAGGACCGGGAUGGACGGACCGCUGGUGUACCGGUUGAGCUGCUAAGCUCAUGGCCGGGUAGCCAAGUCUGGCAGGGAUAAACGCUGAAGGCAUCUAAGCGUGAAGCCCCCCUCAAGAUGAGAUAUCCCAUUCGUUAAGAAGUAAGACCCCUUGAAGACGACGAGGUAGAUAGGGCAGAGGUGGAAGUGCAGUAAUGCAUGGAGCUGACUGUUACUAAUCGGUCGAGGGCUUACC